rnacentral:rRNA from 1 species
AGCGAACGCUGGCGGCUGGCUUAACACAUGAAAGUCGAACGCCCCGCAAGGGGAGUGGCAGACGGGUGAGUAACACGUGGGAACGUACCCUUUGGUUCGGAAGAACUUGGGGAAACUCAAGCUAAUACCGGAUAAGCCCUUAUGGGGAAAGGUUUACUGCCGAAGGAUCGGCCCGCGUCUGAUUAGCUAGUUGGUGAGGUAAUGGCUCACCAAGGCGACGAGCAGUAGCUGGUCUGAGAGGAUGAUCAGCCACACUGGGACUGAGACACGGCCCAGACUCCUACGGGAGGCAGCAGUGGGGAAUAUUGGACAAUGGGGGCAACCCUGAUCCAGCCAUGCCGCGUGAGUGAUGAAGGCCUUAGGGUUGUAAAGCUCUUUUACCCGGGACGAUAAUGACUGUACCGGGAGAAUAAGCCCCGGCUAACUUCGUGCCAGCCGCCGCCGUAA